rnacentral:rRNA from 1 species
ACUUUCAACAACGGAUCUCUUGGUUCUGGCAUCGAUGAAGAACGCAGCAAAAUGCGAUAAGUAAUGUGAAUUGCAGAAUUCAGUGAAUCAUCGAAUCUUUGAACGCACAUUGCGCCCGCCAGUAUUCUGGCGGGCAUGCCUGUUCGAGCGUCAUUUCAACCCUCAAGCCCAGCUUGGUGUUGGGAGCUGCAGUCCUGCUGCACUCCCCAAAUACAUUGGCGGUCACGUCGAGCUUCCAUAGCGUAGUAAUUUACACAUCGUUACUGGUAAUCGUCGCGGCCACGCCGUUAAACCCCAACUUCUGAAUGUUGACCUCGGAUCAGGUAGGAAUACCCGCUGAACUUAAGCAUAUCAAUAAGCGGAGGAAAAGAAACCAACAGGGAUUGCCCUAGUAACGGCGAGUGAAGCGGCAACAGCUCAAAUUUGAAAUCUGGCUUUCGGGCCCGAGUUGUAAUUUGUAGAGGAUGAUUUUGAUGCGGUGCCUUCCGAGUUCCCUGGAACGGGACGCCAUAGAGGGUGAGAGCCCCGUCUGGUUGGAUGCCAAAUCUCUGUAAAUCUCCUUCGACGAGUCGAGUAGUUUGGGAAUGCUGCUCUAAAUGGGAGGUAUAUGUCUUCUAAAGCUAAAUACCGGCCAGAGACCGAUAGCGCACAAGUAGAGUGAUCGAAAGAUGAAAAGCACUUUGAAAAGAGAGUUAAAAAGUACGUGAAAUUGUUGAAAGGGAAGCGUUUAUGACCAGACUUGGGCUUGGUUAAUCAUCUGGGGUUCUCUCCAGUGCACUUUUCCAGUCCAGGCCAGCAUCAGUUUUCGCCGGGGGAUAAAGGCUUCGGGAAUGUGGCUCCCCUCGGGGAGUGUUAUAGCCCGUUGUGUAAUACCCUGGUGGGGACUGAGGUUCGCGCUUCUGCAAGGAUGCUGGCGUAAUGGUCAUCAACGACCCGUCUUGAAACACGGACCAAGGAGUCGUCUUCGUAUGCGAGUGUUCGGGUGUCAAACCCCUACGCGUAAUGAAAGUGAACGCAGGUGAGAGCUUCGGCGCAUCAUCGACCGAUCCUGAUGUUCUCGGAUGGAUUUGAGUAAGAGCAUACGGGGCCGGACCCGAAAGAAGGUGAACUAUGCCUGUGUAGGGUGAAGCCAGAGGAAACUCUGGUGGAGGCUCGCAGCGGUUCUGACGUGCAAAUCGAUCGUC